AUUGAACGCUGGCGGCAGGCCUAACACAUGCAAGUCGAGCGGAUGAAGGGAGCUUGCUCCUGGAUUCAGCGGCGGGCGGGUGAGUAAUGCCUAGGAAUCUGCCUGGUAGUGGGGGAUAACGUCCGGAAACGGGCGCUAAUACCGCAUACGUCCUGAGGGAGAAAGUGGGGGAUCUUCGGACCUCACGCUAUCAGAUGAGCCUAGGUCGGAUUAGCUAGUUGGUGGGGUAAAGGCCUACCAAGGCGACGAUCCGUAACUGGUCUGAGAGGAUGAUCAGUCACACUGGAACUGAGACACGGUCCAGACGCCUACGGGAGGCAGCAGUGGGGAAUAUUGGACAAUGGGCGAAAGCCUGAUCCAGCCAUGCCGCGUGUGUGAAGAAGGUCUUCGGAUUGUAAAGCACUUUAAGUUGGGAGGAAGGGCAGUAAGUUAAUACCUUGCUGUUUUGACGUUACCAACAGAAUAAGCACCGGCUAACUUCGUG
rnacentral:rRNA from 1 species